rnacentral:lncRNA from 1 species
AUGAUAAUAUUAUUAGGUCUUUCCACCUUUCGUGUGGAAAGACCUAUUGAUUUUGUUCUGAUUAUUUUUUUUUUCUUCCGCCUAAUUUUUUUCUUGCGGUGUAAAAAUGUUUCAAAAGAUGUCGCUUAGUUUUUUUGUAUAUGAGAUCAUACAGUCUAUACGCUUUUGAAACUCACCCUGUUUAACCGAACACUUUUCUUUGUAAGAGUUAUCUCCCCAAACACUGUUUUUCUUGUUAUCAGAUCUCCUCCGCAACCGUAAAAGAAAGCGACAAAUUUAUUUUUCCAAAUUGCUCGUUAUAUCCUCAGGAUGUUACGUUUCAUUUUGACCGAAGCUUUACGAAGACCCCAUAUGAGAGUAAUUUCCCCUUUUGUAUUGAAAUAAGUGAAAUAAAUUUGUAACUGGAAAACCAUAAGUGAUAGAGGCCUAAGGUCUUUUGAUUUGAGGCCCUUGCUCAAAAAGUAUGAAAAUGAGGUCAAGGUCAAAGGUCAAGGUCAUGUUCAAAUUUUUGAUUUUGGCUUGUUAUCUCUUAUUUUCAGAAAUCAUACAAGAUAUCGACAAAAUAUUUUCACACAAUUGUUAGUUGCGACAUGUCGUAACAUGUAAAUUUUACUUAAAAGGGUACGUAACAUUUAAUGCGAGUUUUGCCCCUUUUUAUCUAAUAUUAGUUGUAUGGUAAUAUAACUCAUUAACAAUAUAAAGUAGAGGCCUAGAGUCUUUUGAUUUGAGGUCCUUGGUUGAUGACCUUGAAAUUGAG